ACUAAACCUUCCAAAUCCAGCACAUUUUUUAGAAGAGAAGAAAACAUAUUCAAACAUCAGACAAUUAGAACAUAUUUCCGACACGGAGUUCUCUUCAGAACAAGAAUCGAGUUCAGAAAACGAAACACUCGUGAUUGGAGGUUCAUGCCCGGAAUCAAAAAUUCUUAUAAUCAA